UGCGUAACGCGUAUGCAACCUACCAUCAACAGGGGGAUAACACUGAGAAAUUGGUACUAAUACCCCAUAAUAUCUCAUGCGGCAUCGCAUGGGGUUGAAAACUCCGGUGGUUGAUGAUGGGCAUGCGUUGUAUUAGCUGGUUGGUGAGGUAACGGCUCACCAAGGCGACGAUACAUAGGGGGACUGAGAGGCUAACCCCCCACAUUGGUACUGAGACACGGACCAAACUCCUACGGGAGGCAGCAG
rnacentral:rRNA from 1 species